UACAGAGGGGGCAAGCGUUGUUCGGAAUUACUGGGCGUAAAGGGCGCGUAGGCGGCCUUCUAAGUCGAACGUGAAAUCCCUCGGCUCAACCCAGGAACUGCGUCCGAUACUGGAAGGCUUGAAUCCGGGAGAGGGAUGCGGAAUUCCAGGUGUAGCGGUGAAAUGCGUAGAUAUCUGGAGGAACACCGGUGGCGAAGGCGGCAUCCUGGACCGGUAUUGACGCUGAGGCGCGAAAGCCAGGGGAGCAAACGGG
rnacentral:rRNA from 1 species